rnacentral:rRNA from 1 species
UACGUAGGGGGCAAGCGUUGUCCGGAAUCAUUGGGCGUAAAGAGCGUGUAGGCGGCUUGGCAAGUCUGGUGUGAAAUCUUGCGGCUCAACCGCAAGCGGUCACUGGAAACUGCCUCGCUAGAGUCCGGAAGAGGAGAGCGGAAUUCCUGGUGUAGCGGUGGAAUGCGCAGAUAUCAGGAAGAACACCCGUGGCGAAGGCAGCACUCUGGGACGUGACUGACGCUGAGACGCGAAAGCGUGGGGAGCAAACAGG